GAUGAACGCUGGCGGCGUGCCUAAUACAUGCAAGUCGAGCGAACGGACGAGAAGUUUGCUUCGCGGAUGUUAGCGGCGGACGGGUGUGUAACACGUGGAUAACCUACUUAUAUGUCGGGGAUAACUUCGGGAAACGGGAUCUAAUACGGUAGAAUAUUUGGUACGUCUUGGUGCAGAAGUGAAAGACGGUGUGGCUGUAGCUUGUAGACGGAUCCGCGGUGCAUUGGCUAGUUGGUAAGGUAACGGCUUACCAAGGCAACGAUGGAUAGCCGACGUGAGAGGGUGAUGCGCCACACUGGAACUGAGACACGGUACAGAGUCCUAGGGGAGGCAGCGGUAGGGAAUCUUCCGCAAUGGGCGGAAGCCUGACGGAGCAACGCCGCGUGAGUGCUGAAGGUCUUCGGAUCGUAAAACUCUGUUAUUAGGGAAGAACAUAUGCGUAAGUAACUGUGCACAUCUUGACGGUACCUGAUCAGAAAGCCCCGGCUAACUACGUG
rnacentral:rRNA from 1 species